AAGUCGUAACAAGGUCUCCGUUGGUGAACCAGCGGAGGGAUCAUUACUGAGUUUACGCUCUACAACCCUUUGUGAACAUACCUAUAACUGUUGCUUCGGCGGGUAGGGUCUCCGUGACCCUCCCGGCCUCCCGCCCCCGGGCGGGUCGGCGCCCGCCGGAGGAUAACCAAACUCUGAUUUAACGACGUUUCUUCUGAGUGGUACAAGCAAAUAAUCAAAACUUUUAACAACGGAUCUCUUGGUUCUG
rnacentral:misc_RNA from 1 species